rnacentral:rRNA from 1 species
CCUACGGGAGGCAGCAGUGAGGAAUAUUGGUCAAUGGACGAGAGUCUGAACCAGCCAAGUAGCGUGAAGGAUGACUGCCCUAUGGGUUGUAAACUUCUUUUAUAUGGGAAUAAACUGUUCCACGUGUGGGAUUUUGUAUGUACCAUAUGAAUAAGGAUCGGCUAACUCCGUGCCAGCAGCCGCGGUAAUACGGAGGAUCCGAGCGUUAUCCGGAUUUAUUGGGUUUAAAGGGAGCGUAAGUGGAUUGUUAAGUCAGUUGUGAAAGUUUGCGGCUCAACCGUAAAAUUGCAGUUGAAACUGGCAGUCUUGAGUACAGUAGAGGUGGGCGGAAUUCGUGGUGUAGCGGUGAAAUGCUUAGAUAUCACGAAGAACUCCGAUUGCGAAGGCAGUUCACUGGACUGCAACUGACACUGAGGCUCGAAAGUGUGGGUAUCAAACAGGAUUAGAUACCCGAGUAGUC